UGUUAUUAGAAUUUAUUAAUAAUAAAAUCUGCUCAAUGAAAAUUAAAUAGCCGCUGAUGUGCUAAGGUAGUAUAAUUAUUUGUCUUUUAAUUUAAGACCAAACAAAAGAUUUAACAUUUAAAUAAAUUUAUAUAAUUUAUUAAUUUAAAUUAUUUUUAAUGUAAAAAAACAUUAAUAUAUAAAAUAGACGAUAAGACCCUAUCGAACUUUACUUUAGUUUAACUGGGGUAGUUAAUUAAUUAUAAUUUUAAAUUAAUAUAAUCUUAAAAUGACCUAAUACAAUUAAUUAUAUGAUCAAGUUACCGUAGGGAUAACAGUGUAAUAUUAUUUUUAAGAUCUAAUUUAAAAUAAUGAUUACAACCUCGAUGUUGACUAAUAUCCUAAUUAGCGCAAUAGCUAUUUUCGGAAGUCUGUUCGACUUUUAAAUAAUUACA
rnacentral:rRNA from 1 species